AAUCUGCUGUCCUGGCACUGUGCUGGGUCAGAGGUCCCCAGUACAUCCCAGACUUGCAGAAACAGCAUUUUCCAGAGGAAGCUGAGGCCAGAGGCUCAGGGCCAGAGGCUCCAUGUGCAGUGUUCCUCUGAUAGCUCCUGCUCUUGAUCCACCAGCUGUAAGACAAGUUUUGCAGUUGAAAUAUUGUUUAGCAGAUGGAGUGUUUUGGACACUAAGUACCUCUACACAA